rnacentral:lncRNA from 1 species
GAGAAUAGUGAUCUACGGCUUUAACUUAGUGGUCGUGUCCUACAGUCAGCGUGUGCUCUGAUACCAUCUCUGUAGCGACCAGACCCGAAUGGAUCAAGUCUACUGUGCUCCGGUGUCAUCCCUGGAUCAGUAAUGCUGACACCACACAGUACAUCAAAGGAUUUAUAGCAGAGUGGCAAUCACACACUUAUUACAUCGAUGUCUCCGAAGAGAACUUAUUACAAUAAUAUGGCUUAAGGCCAUCUAAUAUCGAUAACAGCGGAAGACUUGGAAGAUAAAUGGGUCCAUCAACUCCAACGGCAUCACUGAGUAUAGAACCACGACCUAAGAGCACCUUAAUCAUCGUCUGAAAAGUCUGCAACAUUAACGUUGCAGCCCGAAAUGGGUCAGCACAUGGAAUAUGCUGGCAAUGUAACACAUAAAGAAUGAUGGAAUGAAAUAGCUAUACUAUAUGCAUAUUUGGCUGGUGGAUAGCUCUAUGGUUACAGUUUUGCGUAAAGCCAGUUUUUCCCUACUGCAAAGGAAUAAAUUUAUUUAACUAUCAUGGUGGUUGUUAAACAUUGAGAAUGGUUGACAGCAUUCUCAAUCCCAAUUAAAAGUAAUCAUUAACAACCCAACAAUAUUAAUUUAGAAGUAACAUGUUGAGAUUCACAUGAUAUUCAAGUACUAGAUACUCAAGUUGUCCAUAACCGGGGACCCCGCUAAUCAUGAUUAGUUUAUUACACUCUGCAGAGGUUUGCGCACUUUUCCCCACAAGACUCGAUCGCCUCCGUUGGAUUUCUCGCACUCCUGGUGUUUGAGAAAUGGAUGACCGAGACACAGUCUUUCAGAAGCGCUAGCACCUUACGAUGGAUAGACCGGUACACCUAGUUUCCCCUACAUCUGCUAGUCUACCCUAUAAGAGUUGGCACGACUUAGUCAACUAUGCCAGAGCCCAUAUUGGCUUGUGGCUGCACACGUAAGUAUUUAGCAUGAAAGAUCUUAUGAUCCCUUUGAGCCUGGGUGGCGGUCCAAAAUAAAACAGGCAAGUCCUGAUAGACAUCAGGUGCCUCAAUCCACCCAUAUGUGUGUUUAUGUUGCCACCUUAGAUAAACCCUUAAAAUUAUCACACUCACAUCUGUCAUGGAUAUCACUCACCCAAUCCACGUCUACUAGCAUAGCAUGGCAUAAUAAGCAAACGUAGAAGUAACUCCCAAAGGUUUCAUAAUAAACAGGUAAUAGGUACUACCUCAUCUACUUCCCAUCCCACAAUUUAAUUAGAUCCUAAUCAUGCAAUGUGUGAGGACGGAUCUAAUGCAAUAAAACUGGGUUGUAGAAAAGGUAUGAUCAAAGUGUUACUUGCCUUGCUGAUGAUCCGCGAGUCCUAGAGAUUCGAAGUAACAGGCGGCGCAAUCCGGGUAAUCUAUUGCAGACAAACAACAAGCAUACAAUAAGUACUCAUCUAAUGCACAUGUAAAACUCAAACAAGAGAUCGAACCAGAUAGUUCAACUUAAGAACUCCGGUUGCAAAGAGAGAAAGAACCGAACAAAGAAACCGAAAACAAACGGCGGAAAACAACUCGGUUCUAGCAAGUUGAAACUGGGUCAAAUUUUACAUAUAAAAAACUAGUUUAAGUUGAUUAUUCGGAACGGCGGUUUCGAAACGAAACUCCAGGCGCUUGAAUCACCUGAUUCCGAUAAACGAGCGAGAAGAUAGACUAGAACGAAGAUCGGAUCUGAGAUCGCGAUCGCGGAAUAAAUCCGAUGAAAAGAAAAAGAAGAACGGUUAAACGAACGGAUGUUCGUUAACCUAGAAAAAUCCGGUGAUCACGCUCGUUAAGACGAACGGUCCGGCGAACGGUCUCUAGGCAACUAAAUCGGAAAAGAAAAC